rnacentral:lncRNA from 1 species
UCCGAUCUUCUUUGAGAGUCGUACGGUCUGAUCUUGAUCUUGAUCAAGUGCUCCCCGGUGACGCUAGUAUGGUUCCGAAUCGAUCUGGCGGUGGUGAAGAUAGAAUCUCGCCCGUCCAUUCUUUAAUGAUCAAAGAUCAUGACGGCUGAUCACUACAUCGGUAGCCGCUCGUGCGUGCUAUAUAAAUGAUGGUGGAUAUGUUGCCUAAUCCCCAUACCUUCUCAUCGUACCGUCCCAUUUCUUCGAGGUCCCUUUGGUGCCGCUUUCCUCGAGAAGCCCUGCUCCUCCCUUUCGCAAGCUUCCCGACGCUGUUGCCACCACCCGAUGCGGAUCGUCGCCUUCUUCCCAACCCCUCGAUGCCUUCCCUUGAGGAGGGCGUUGUUGCUGAGCUUCCUUGGGAUCCAGAUUCGGUUGGCUGCGGCCGAUCACAGACCUGGAAACCCGAGUUUUGGUUUCCCGCUGAUUUUGAUGUGUUUACAAGGUGAGAUUCGUUUAUUCCUGAUUCCCCGUGCCUUACUCGUUGGUGAUCUUGAAUCUUGAAACGAUAAAUUGCUCUGUGAUGCCUACUCUCUAAUUAAUAUAAGUUCAUGCUUGUGAUCUUUUUUAUCUUGAAACGACAGAGUUCUUAGUCGGUUGUGCCUUUUCGUUUUCUUGGUUCUGAGAUCCGUGUCUUCUUGAUCUCUCGUGCUUUACUCGUUUGUGAUCUUGAAUUUAGAAAUGCUAAGAGUUGUUAAUCUAUAUGAUGCCUAUUCUCUAAUAUAAGUUCAUGCUUGUGAUUUUUCUUAUCUUGAG